AAGAUACUCCCUCUGUCCGGAAAUAUUUGUCUCGGAAAUGGAUGUAUUCACACGUAUUUUAGUUCUACAUACAUUAAUUUUUAUCCAUUUCUUUGACAAAAUUUUUCGGACGGAGAGAGUAUCAA
rnacentral:pre_miRNA from 1 species